rnacentral:rRNA from 1 species
GUGCCAGCAGCCGCCGCGGUAAUACGUAGGGUGCGAGCGUUAAUCGGAAUUACUGGGCGUAAAGCGUGCGCAGGCGGUUUGUUAAGAUAGGCGUGAAAUCCCCGGGCUCAACCUGGGAACUGCGUUUGUGACUGCAAGGCUAGAGUACGGCAGAGGGGGGUGGAAUUCCACGUGUAGCAGUGAAAUGCGUAGAUAUGUGGAGGAACACCGAUGGCGAAGGCAGCCCCCUGGGCCUGUACUGACGCUCAUGCACGAAAGCGUGGGGAGCAAACAGGAUUAGAUACCCUGGUAGUCCACGCCC